AAGUGGAGCAAUCCAUGAGUAAAGUGGCGACCGGGUGAGUAACACGUGACUAACCUACCUUUGAGUGGGGGAUAACAUCGGGAAACCGAUGCUAAUACCGCAUCACAUCGGCGUUUCUUAAGAAGUGCCGAUCGAAGCAGCAAUGCGCUUAAAGAGGGGGUCGCGGCUGAUUAGCUAGUUGGCGGGGUAACGGCCCACCAAGGCGAAGAUCGGUAUCCGGCCUGAGAGGGCGCACGGACACACUGGAACUGAAACACGGUCCAGACUCCUACGAGAGGCAGCAGUGGGGAAUUUUGCGCAAUGGGGGAAACCCUGACGCAGCAACGCCGCGUGGAGGAUGAAGUCCCUUGGG
rnacentral:rRNA from 1 species